AACAAACGCUGGCGGCGUGCCUAACACAUGCAAGUCGUACGAGAAAGGGUCCUUCGGGGCCUGAGUAAAGUGGCGCACGGGUGAGUAACGCGUGGAUAAUCUGCCCUUCAGUUGGGAAUAACUCAUCGAAAGGUGGGCUAAUACCGAAUAAUGCUGUGAGACCUCGGUUGAUCAGCCAAAGAGAGCCUCCGCUUGCAAGCCCUCGCUGAAGGAUGAGUCCGCGUACCAUUAGCUAGUUGGUAGGGUAAUGGCCUACCAAGGCGACGAUGGUUAGCUGGUCUGAGAGGAUGAUCAGCCACACUGGAACUGAGACACGGUCCAGACUCCUAGGAGAGGCAGCAGUGAGGAAUCUUGCGCAAUGGGGGCAACCCUGACGCAGCAACGCCGCGUGAGUGAGGAAGGUCUUCGGAUCGUAAAGCUCUGUCGGAUGGAAAGAACCGCAUAGGGGUAAACAGCCCCUGUGUCUGACGGUACCAUCAAAGGAAGCACCGGCUAACUCCGUGCCAGCCGCCGCCGUAACAC
rnacentral:rRNA from 1 species